UUUACUGUUUUGUCUUUCUGAAGUUCAAAUAAAAUUAUCUGUUCUUAUCAGCUUAAUUUCUGGUAUGAAUCCCAAGUGGAUUCGAUAGAAAUUUGCAUAAGUCUUUGAAAAAAUAGACAUUUGGUAGCAUGCUUGCACCUCCAUUUGUCGCGGGUCGGCCUGAUGUUGCACUACAUUCAGGAACGGCCUAUGCUUC
rfam:Trichinella papuae scaffold234s, whole genome shotgun sequence.